ensembl:lncRNA
UUCAAGUAUUAGAAUUACACAGAAAAGCAGGCGUUUCCCAUCGUGUCCCAGGUCAUGCAUUUGGUGGAGAGGCGGCCGGCUUUAAAAACUAUGACUGCCUUGAUCCCAUGAGCUGAUCGUUAACCAUGUGUGCACGACAUCAGAGCAAAGCAGGAUCAAGUCUACCGGACUGAUGGAGCCGGCAUGCAUUGUGCGGCAAUGGCAUCGUCUUCAUCGUCUUCGCAGUGCUGGUUCCUCUGAAAACCAGCAGACUUGGUGGGUUGUGUGAAAUCUGUGAACACGGUAUGACCUUUAACAGUCAGAGAAAAGAGGCCUCUUUCAAGCAUUGUCACCACUGUCACCAUCUUUGUGUAAUUGGUACUUUUGUAGUUUUUGAGGGUUGUGAAAAGAUUUCGGGUUAAAACACAAGUCUGGAACACAAGUUGAUUUAACAGCUAUGACUGCAGCUCAGGAAUCAGCUUACAAGAGUGUUCAAUACAGUAAGAAUGAGAGCUAUGUCACCUUUUACUGCAGGGUUCAGUUCAUUUACAGAACUUCACCACAAAGCUUGCAGAUCAGAAAGUGGUUAUAUCACAACUUCUCAUUUGCUAAGACACACCAGACCAAAAAGACCACGUGAUCUUCAUCAUCACCUUCUUAGGCCAGCAGAAGUCUUCUCUUUAAAUAUUUGAACGCUUUCUCAUUAGUUACCACACAUUUUCGACACCCUUUGCCACAGAUGUCAUUUAAACCGCAGAUUCUAGUGGAUUCACUGCGGAAAACAUCUAUUCAUAGCUGACAGAAAUGACUUCAUAAAUGUCCGAUGCCCCUGCGUGAAACACACGUUUGCACACCUCUUUAAUUUGCAUGCUUUUUGCUUUUACUUUAUAGAAUCUACACAUUACCACACAAGGUUGUGGAAUAUGUCAAGCACAUAUUCUGCUAGUAUUACAUUUAUAACAUUGUUGAAGUAUUUGUAUUCUACAUGAUUGCUCAUUUUAGCUACUUUAUGCAUCUUUGCCCCCUACAUUCCUGAAGGAAUAAUUGUUGCCUAUUAUAUUUUAAUUCACUACAAUUGCCUGGCGGCAAACUUUUACAAUUAGCCCCACUUUGGACAACUACAACAUUAAAAUACUCAGACACGACUUUUGCUUGUGAUUGAGUUUGAAACCCACAACAGCUGUAUCGCUACUAAGAAAGCAAACAUCUCUUCUGCCACCGAUGAAAUUCUCCCAAAAUACCAAACCUCAUCUGAUUCUAACAAAUGAAAACUCCCCUGCAGUAACGUUUAGUCAUGGCCGACAGACCGAAGGAACAUUUCCCACCGGCUGACUUUACUGUCACCGCAUACCUCAAGGUACUUUGCUGUGCUUAACUUCCUCUCUGCUUGUGUCAGACCUUGUGUUUCUUCCUCCCUGCCUCCUUUAUCUCAAGCUGUCAGCCUCUCCACUUCCAGCUGGAUAGAACAUCACAUCCAGAUUGUGUGCACAUCUGGCGAUGUGCUGUCAGAGCGGACGAUCGGACUGAAAUAACCCAAGUUGUGCAGACGCAUGCGAGAGAGAGGUUCUGUGUUUGUGUCGUGAGAGAAAAAGUAUGACGGAAAAUAACAGACAGGAGCAGAGAGGUUGCAGUGAGAGUGAUAAGUAAUAGAUAGUGGGCGCCGUCAUGCCCAGAGCUGUCCACAUCAAGGGGGUUCGGUAACGACUGAUACAGCAACUGAAUGGAUAUUCUUACUUUGCUGUGCAAGCCCGGAUUUCUUUGUAUGAAACAUCCAGGCGGAAACACACCCUUAUGUUGCUCCUUUGGUGAAGAAAAUGCCCACAUUUCUGCUGAAUGCAACUUCUUUAUUGUGAGGUUGUGAUAGUUCUCUUUGUCAAGUUCUUGGAAUAUAAAAUCACAACUAUGUUGUAAUCAGUGAAUCGCCUGAACUAAGAGUGGGUUUGUUUCCUUUAGCUUAGAAUGAGUCCUUCAUAUCUACAGAGGCAGCAGGUCUCCCUCACAGAGACGCCGUGUUACACGUUUCUGGAAUACACAAACCGAAGAAAGACUCUCAUGUUUUUCUACAUAAAGGAAAAGAGAUUCCUGUGAAAGUGCCGUAACAUAACGCGCAGUGUGACUCCUGUGGCUCCGUUCUUAUCACCUCCAAUGCAACCAAAUCCUACACACUGCCCCGUUAAUUAAUCAUGUUUUCAUCGAUAAUCAAUGGUAUUUGACAGGGGUUGAAAGCAGCGGUUCGAUCACUGGACCUGCUAAUGCACAUGUUGAUGUGUCCUUUGGUAAACAAAUGAAAGCACAUUAUUCCUGUAGCUGUGACAACGGUGUGUGAAUGUUAGUUAUUGAUGGGUACAGGUGACACGGUAGCUGGUAGCUGAUGCCAUCAGUGUAUAAAUGAUAACACGGUAGUGGAAAGGUCAGUGCCGUUGGUGAAAAUGAUGUAGGUUGGGAAAUUCUGGACAAUCUUAUUUUUGUCACCCUCACAGGCAAACGCGUAUAAUAUAAAAUAUAUAUAUAUAUAAAAUAAUUAUUAUGAUAUAAUUAAUACUGUAUACAUGUCAGUUGUCUCGUCUGCUUGACUGGCGAUAAAAUCCGUGCUCUUUACUUCCUGCAGAAUGUCACCCGCCUGUUGAUACCCGCCUUGACGAGAACGUGCACGCUCGGGGCAAAGCCAGUGUUGCCCUGCGCUGAGUCCAUUCAAGCACGCUCAUUGGCUAUAUGCCACACAUCAUUUAUUGCACCAGCAAAUGGCUACAAUGCUUUUUGAGCAGCCUUCUGAAGACCGGGUGUGCAGGAACGCAUAUAUUUUGUGCAGAUAUAUUUUAAAAUCUGCCUGUCCGCCUCUCCUCCGUGCUGCUCCAACUGCUGAAUGCCUCCCGUCCAUCUAUCACGCCAGGCUUUUUAAAGGGGAGGUGUGGCGCACCUGCAGACGAUUCCGAGAAGCACCCGCUGCCAAUUAUAAGACACCUGAACAAAUCCACAGCUCACACAGAUAAUAUAAAUCAUGCAAACAUUUCAAAUGAAUAAUAUAAAUGCAAUAAAAAGCAUGUGGAUACAAAAAUAUAACAAUCUCUGUAUAAUUAAAACAAAGUGGCAUCUAGCGGUUACACUUUUUUAAAAUAAAUGUCCUGUUUAGUGAUUUUACACCAGUGUCGAGUAAGAUUCAUUCCAGUUUUCUUUGUAUGGAAAUGAUAUACUGCAGUAUGUGCAUAUACUGCACAUACUGCAUCAAAGACAGAGAUUAGCUACUCAGUCUAUAAAUAUUGGUGGUGUUUAUGUGUUACUUGCUAUUAGGUUAAUAGUGACAUUAUCAUUUUUCAUAGCAUUUCCUAUCCUAUUAUACCUCUGUGAUUUCAUUGACAAAUCACUCUGCUUUGGAAUAAAAAAAUCACGUUCCAGUCGCAACCUUUGAGUUCUCUCUAGUAAUCCAUGGCUGAGGUUUUUACAUUUCUUUUCUUAAGUAUGCCAUUGUCUGUCUCAUCACGAUAGAUGAAUAACUUUCCUGUGUUUGCAUGUCUUUUGUGACAGUGUUAAACUCAGUGUCAAAUCAGUGCCUGAACACUUUCCACCUGUGACAUGGAUGAAGGAUGAAAAAAGAAAUCUGAUCGAUUUGUAAAACCGUGGGAUUGCAGUUUUCUCAAGCCUAAAAUGUACUGGCUUGUCAGUAAGUCUUCUUGCGGAUCCACAGUGAUGAGUUUUUGAUUCCUGCCUGGUGUCGUUCCCACAGCAUCAAAUACACAUACAGGCAGUCCCGUCACAUUUGUCAAAAGGAGAUUGAAUUAAUCCAUAAACACACUAUUUACAACUAUAUUCAAAAAUCUGAACAAUUUUGCAUUUUAAAUAAUAAAAAGAAGGAAAAAAGUAAGCAUAUGAAAUACUGAGCCUUUCAGGGGGUCCAAAUUGUCAUUAAAGCCAUUGAGGUUUGGGUGGACAGGACAUUCACAAUGGGGACUUUGACCUAUUAUAGUACGAGAAUUCCACCAUGACAGUAUACCACAUUAAUGUGGCUGUCGGGCAUCUCUACCACCCCCAAAACCCUGGAAAAAACAACUUUUUUUAUGAUUGCUGACGUCGUCAGACCAAAUGGGGGUCUCCCUCACAUAAGCCUUGGCCCUCCGCCCGACGCAUCCCCCAACACGACAAAUCACUCAACCCAAAGCGCUGCAGUCGGCUGCACAUUUCCACACAAGUCUCUGCAUCGCUUAGAAGGCACAAGAACCCAAUGUAUUCAUUUGAAAUGUGAAGGUCAUAUUCAUCAUGAGAGUGGUUUGGUUUGGGCAGGCGGGCGGUUAAUGAAACGGCCCCUGAAACGGACCGUUUCGGACCGAAGGUGAAUACAGGGAUAUUCACACAGACAAUACAGGAAAAUAUGUCUUUUUAACAUUAAAGCACAUGAACGUGUUAAGGUGAAACCCAAGUCACAAUGAGCAUGCUAUGUCUCUGCAGACGCUCAGUGGAAGGUGGUUAAACCUAUGCUAGUAAGCUACUACCACUAAUGAACAAGCCGCUUAUUUACUGAGAUGUACAGAAGGCAGUACAUUUAAACAUUUACUUGGAAUAUGAUUUAGCUAAGGUUAUACAUUCAAAUAGUACACAUAAUAUAACACAAACAACUCAUUUUCGUUUGACUGCGUCCAGUCGCUUACCUCAGACUUAGUAUUUAACAUUUAGCAAACACAUACACAAAGCAUAGCAUCCGAUUAGCAUACACACACAAUAACUCAAAAACUCAAAACUAUUAUUAGAGGUAAAUAUCUAAUAUGUACAAUAAUCCUGGGUACCGAAGCAGUUGUCCGAUGAACGGUCGGCCUGUUUGGCAGCUGGAGAGCCUCAAACAAAAUGGCUACUUCGCGCCAAAGCGCCACACGUAACCUCGUCGUCCUCCACGCGGUGUUGGCGAGGCGAGACUUCGGCGCAGCCGUCCACAGCUGUGUUGGGUUCUGAUGGUCCGGGAACCGAUGGUCGAAUGAGUGGCCGGGCCGGCUACUGGAUCUUCUUCCACAGCACCUGACCUUCACCCUCACGUCUGACUGGAUUAUUAUACCUUUUAACUAAUACAAUGUUCAAACAUGGAAACAUUAAUUACACCUUUUUAUCAAUAUUAAUUGCUUAAAAAGCACAAUCAUUUGAGGAUACAACCACAUCUCCCAUAGGACUAUAUGAUAAUGUUAUACGUUGUAUGUUAUACAAAAUAAUAAUAAUUAUAAUAAUACAUUUAAUUGGUAAUGCACUUUAUAUUUAAGAAAAUCCCAAAGUGCUACAUGAUAAAACAGGUAAGUGCUAACAAUGAAAACACAUGGAGAGUUUGAAAACAAUGACUUACCCCAAAAAUGUUAAACCAAAGCAAUAUUUUGAGUUAUUUAAGUGUAUAAUGUAAAGUUCUUAACUUCAUGUCACAAUAUGUUGACUACUACUCUACUACGUUGCUAACUACUUAAUAUACAUAACAUCAAUUCACACGUAAAAGACCUGACUUAGGCAAGCAGGGUAGUUGCCUCCUUGAUGCCAAAGGGCUCGAACGUCCAUGUGUGACCAUGGAUGUGGAUGCAUGGGUGCAGGGAAUACAAUGAGAAUACACUUAGGCCAGAGGGAGCUGCAUGACCUUGAAGCAUUGUGAAGAUAUGUGUGUGUGUGUGUGUGUGUGUGUGUGUGUUGGAAGAUAAAAAUGAUCUUGAUUUGAAUUCAUUUGGUUUUGUCCACUUCCAUUCAUCAUUAUUAAAGGAAGUCGUCCACAAAUGACGUACAUAUAGUGUCCCGCCUUAAACGCAUUGUAGACACCUGAGGACGUCAAUGAUCCUGAUUGGACGCUCUGACAUCAAACACAAAGUAUUUGUUCGUAAAUUCAUUUAAAAUGCUGUGUGACCUGAACACAUACACUCUGCCUCCCCCAGCAACGCUGACUCAUCUUCCACGGACGAUUGAUGAAAAACUGAAGAAGAACAUUUAUGAUUCUGCAGCGACUUAUGUGAGAAACAUCAAAUGAUGAAAAUCAUCUUCUGUUGUAUUAAAUGUGCAGUGGCAACUGCGGUCUGGUUAUCGCGUCUGCCUUCGUCUUCAUCAUCGGGCGCGGUUUUGCCUGCCUCCGUGUAAUAGUGUGGAUUUGGAGUCAGAUCAGCGGUUGUCAAUGACCCGUCUGUGCAGCGUUGACUACCUUCUGCCACAGACUUAAGUUCAGCAGCCUCUCUCACCGAAUCUGUGCAGUAAAGCUGCGUAUCUCCUCUGCCAUUAGCAUGCGGCGGAGGCUCUGCCGGCAUGCCCUCGAUCACGCAGCUUUGAGAAGGUUUCUCCUUUGCAUCAGCCUCAAAAGCAAGAUUUCGAAAUCGAAUGGAUGUAGAAUGUUGUCUGGCUUCUGGUAUCACUGAUGAAUUACCUCAAAAAACACGCAUCUAACCGAGAAAUGAAGCUCACCUUAGAUCUUUGAUCAAGUGCUCUGUUUGCAUACGGCGCGCUUUUAAUGAGGCAGCCGUGGAGUCCGCGUGGAUUGAAUGGAUGGAUGCUUCACUAGCACUCAGCUCCCUCUUUUGAUGUGGAUUCCCAGUGAGGCUCAGGAUGACAGCAUCAUUGCCCCUGAAGCUUUACAGGGGCUAAAGUUUCUAAACGGACAAUAGGGCAAACCUCAGGCUUGAGUGACGGCUCCUAAUCGGCUUUGUUGGGAUCGCCAAGAUCUAUGUGUCAUGACGUGGGUUCAGGUGGAAAAAUCCCGCUUCCCCAUGAUUGAUAAGUAAGGUUUACAGGCCACUGCGUUAAAUUGCUCGUUGUAUUGUUUCCUCCCGCAAAUCGUUGGUAAAUGUAGACGCCUGAGCUAAUGUUCACCACGUGUAGGUAACGUUUUAAACUCAUAACGGUAGGUGUCAUCGUCCAUGGUGACGUCAUCCAUCGGUUUAGUGAACUGCUCCAGUUGAACCAAUGAACGGAGGUUACCAUGCUUAGAAUGCGGAGGAGACGACUGUGGUAGCUGCAAGCGUCCUGUCAAUCAGAGUAAGCCCGCCCUAAAGUAUACUCUGCUUCACGGCCUAUUUGACUAUAGAGUUAGCAUCAUCCGGGCAGGUCUGCCGCUGCACCCCUUCAGACAAUGGAAUCCUACUUGUUUAGACCGCCCCGAUACCAAAAUCCGGUAGUCUGACACGUUUGCAGCAGCAUUGACACUCAUUUUAUUUAUUCAUUGAUUCUUUACGCAUGGCUUAUCAGCAUGCAUUCCUUAAACCUGCUAUAUAAAUAAGUAAACAGGAGGUGGGUUAUCAAGCAGAGAUUGUGAGAACAUCACGGUGCAUAAGAGAAAGAAGGAGGUAUGAAGAAUGAAUGCACCUUCUUAUGUGACAGUGGGAGCCGCCGCCAGCUCAUUAGAGUGCAGGAGAUCUCUUUUACCGGGCAGGUGAUGAUACACACACAGCUCUCGAGAGCGCCUGGCACUCUGAUGGCGGGGGAGGGCGCCCCGCAUGAUCACACAGUAAAAUGAAAGCACACAAGAGUAGUUAGUAUUCACAGCAGUCUAUGUCCUUGUAACGGCCUGGAAUUUUUGGGUUUUAUCUCAUUGGAGGAUCUCAUCCAUUAUUUAGAAUGCAGGCGCAAACCGACAGACGCUCCGCAAUAAUUCCUGGGGAGCUCGACUGCCUCUGCUGCUUUUUGCUUUUCUCUCUCUUCCACACGUUCUCUCCUCCUCUUCCAUCUUUACUUUUUUUUUUUUAUUGGAUCUCCUUAGCUCUGUGAUACUCCACAACAAGUGCAUGUCUUGGUUGACCUGGGCAGGCAGACACGGCAGUGGGCACACAAACCACACAUACGUACUUGAUGCCAUACGCUGGAGGAAAGCGAGCGGUAGAACCAGCAGGCGAGUGUGAACUUGCCUCUGAUAUGAGAAGCAUGCAGACGCUUGGCUGCCUCCUCGUUGUCUAUUAAUUCCCCCGUCAGGCGGCUCCAUAAUUCAUGCACAUACUUGGGCGGCGCGAUGUUUUGCAUGCAGCUGCAGGGCGCCGUGGGAUCGGCUGUACACGCCGUCUGACCUGCCGCCGACUCACACCCCCCACCCCCACCCCCCCGUGGGCGCCACACAUUGAAGCUCUGUUGACUUAAGGAGCCUGCGACUGUCAUGAUGGCAACCCCCAAUGAUGAUGCUGCAUGAUGAAAAGGGUGAUCAGUGGAUUUCACGGGGGAUAAGAUUGUCAUUUUAAAAUGUGCCUUUACACUGUGUGACCAAAGGUAUCAUCAAUCAUCAGUAUUGCUUUUUAUUUCCGUUGGAUGCAUGCUAAUCCUGAGCCUGGGUAGUAGCACACGUUGAGCAACAGAUGGCAGUGUGGAUUUAGAUAGAGGUCCUUGGUAAAGGUCUCUCACGUGUACCCGAUGUGACGGCUAGAAAUAAACAAAUCAUCAACUAUGACAGGGCUUCGUAAAGCCUUUCACAGGAUUCACUUUGGGGGCCAGGACCUGAAAAGGGAGAAUGUGGAUGAUCAGGGCCGGUCUAGUUAACGGCGUGCUAUGUGCAGAAGCUGGGAGUGGAAAUGAUCCGGUGCGUUCUCCUCUGACACGCUCUGUUUAUUAGUCCUUUAGCUCAUUGAUUGGGGCCCCUUUACACUUGUAACAAUUAGCGUGGCAGCCAACAUCGAGACAUGGAGCUUCACGCAGCAAAAGGGAAUUGAUUCCAGGCCAAAUUACCUGCCACCUCGUCUUUUCUAUGGAGGCGGUGUGGAAUGUUCGCUGUCUUGUUGUCAAAGCGUCAGACUUCAAGAAAAUGGCAAGAGAGGAGAUUUAUUUUUGCCCUUGAAUGAGCGCAGGUGUGCGUUUGACAUUUUAUUGUGAUGCAGCAAACCGAAAGGUCACAUUACGAUAAAGUAAAAUUGACAGCCGUCCCUUUCCUCUCAUGUUAAUGCGCCACAGUUUAAUUUACAAUGCUGGGCCCCUUUUUCUGUGUGAUGAGUGCACACUGGCUGAUGUGAUGUGACAUUUCCAGGCGAUCAAUAAUCUAUUGUGCAGUAGGUUUUUGUGUUUCUGACUCAGUAAACCAGCUCUCUCAGAACUCAACGUUCAGUUUUUUUUAUUUUUAUUUGAAAUGCAGCUCAACAGAAGUGCUGCUAUCAUGCUUUAAUAGUGUAAUCAGCAACACAGAGAGUUGAGCAAUAGAUUUAUGAAUUCUGGAUGACUGACUGGAAGUGCAGCAGGUAUCUCCAUCCAUGCUGUCUGUGAAACAAAAAGACUUCAUGGACUUCAUUUAAUCUCACAAAACAAGGAAGUCGCUGGACUUCCUCGAUCGUUUGGUUAGUUUGCGUUGCCUUUGAGACUUUUGUAUUUUGUUAAGCGUUCCAGCCUCGACCUGUCUGCCCCCCGGUGACAGACAUUAAUGACAAUGGGGAAAAAUUCAAGCAUUUCGAGAAGAGCACAAGAUGUUGUUGGCUGAAGUCUGAAAGCGGCCUGACUUUGAGAAGCCGAUGCAGCAACAGAGGUUGUGUGCACACCGAAUAAACCUCCAAGUUAGAUAAGCACUAGAAUCACGUGUUCACUGAAUCCUGCACAGAGCACGGCUUCAUUCUUUAUCUCGCUCUUGGCUUGGUCUCAACUGCUUUUGGACUACAAACAAAUCUCCUUUUGGUAAUACGCUGGUUCUGGUAAGUACCUCGUACAACCACACUGAAACUAAGCCUCCAAUGACUGCUGAGUGGCCCCACAUCCAUAAGUAAUGUAGAAAAUAGAAGGUCCAGAUGAAAUGGAUGGCAAGUUUUAUAUCAUGUUCUUUUGUCCUGUUCCUCCAAACUCUUAUUGAAGAUCAGAGUGUUCCUGUCCAACAAGUUUGGGUCCGUUUUAUUCUCGGCCAUCGGUCACUGCCACGCUGUAAUCGUCGCAGUCUUCAGGAUUUAAGCACUGCUCCACAUGAAGCUGUCCCUCGUACGCGCUGUAAAACAAUCCCCAGUGAGAAAAAGCCCACCUUUAUAUUCAAACAUGGCCACUUCACCACAAGAGCAUGCGUGAAAAAUAAUUCCCGUUCCAGCGCCCCACUUUAAAGCCCGUAGCACUAAUGGUCACUGGCAGCGUGAGUGGAUUUCACAACGAUCCCUCUCGGUUGUUGACUGACUUUCAGGCUCCGCUGUUGUUGUUCAAUAACCAUAGCAGUCAUGAAUUGUUUAGGAGGUGGGUGAGGUUAAUCUAUUAUUUGUUAAAUCAGCGUGAGGACGACGGUGGAUUAAAAGAGUUCCCUGGAGGAUGCAAACGGAGUCAAACAAGGGACAAAUGCAGAAUUUAUGACUGAGGGCCGGGAACCGAGCGGCCUUCUUUUAUUGGUUACACGGCAAAUGACUUGGACUGCGUUUUCCUCAAUUCCAUCUUGGAAUGCGAGCACCGCCAUGUUUUUUCUUUUUCAUCCCAGUAAGCCGGCAUCAAAGCGUGCUCAUCUUUAUGGUCCCUUUGACUGUGGAUUUAUCAUCAUUUCUACUUUUGCUGUAUUGAACUAGACUUGAAACUGGAGAUUGAGAACAUAAGCCCAUGUUCACGUGGGAAUAAAAGCAGAGCGGGUCGGCUGUGUGCAACACGCGGGUUUAAUUAAAGCACAGCGGUGAGGUCGGGCCAUUCUGCCACAUUUGCACUACCGUGUCAUUCAUUUUACAAGUGCUGCUUAAUGUAUAUCCUGCUCCAUGUAUACUUCACACUGGACAUUUAUUCAUAUAUACUCUGCACCUCUAAUGCUAAACUGCAUUUCGCUGUCUCAGGACCGUUGUGCAAUGACAAUAAAGUUAAAUGUAAUCUAAUUAUAAACAAAAGGUAAAGAGCAGGUGAGUUUUCAGUCUCCGUCCUCUGCAUCACGGUGCACUAACGUGUGUUCCUCCUGCACACACAUGACAUGGACCCGGUGAGCACUUUGGGGUGAAUGUUCUUGCCCAAGGACACAUUGACGUGGAGGAAGCGACCGAUCUCUUGGUGUCUGAUGACAGAGACGUCACAGGAGCUGAGCAGGCAGAUGAAUAUAUGCAUGGGUUUCUGUUGUGGGUUAUAAUCAAUACGUCACCAUUAUUAACGUCGUCAUAACCACAACUGCACUCACUGUCAUCAAGACAUUGUCUCCAAUAUCACAGCCAACAAAACAUGCAAGUAGAAAUAAUGCAUCGAUAGCGCUUGCUGGCUGCAACUAGAGGUGGAUUUAAGAUGGAUGUUCUCGCUCUACAUAAUGCUUGUAACUCCUCCAUAUUUCAGAAGAGUCUAAUUGAUGUGUUUCCACUCAGCUGUGCUAAACAUAUUAACUUAUUGGUGAGAGGGAAUUGAGCCAAAAGAAGCAGCGUUUUCCCAAAUAUUUUGUCUGUGGAAACGCCUUUUUAAAGAUAACGAACAUCACUAAUUCUCAUCUCUGAAUCACGGCUCUAACAGCAUUUCAGCAUGAGCGGACAUUAUCUUAAAUACAAAUAAGCCGGACUUUUUAAAGAGAAAUAUUUUUUAGCAUUUGCUAAAUCUCAACUUUAUUUCAACCAAAUUGUAUUAAAAAAAAACAUGUUAAAUACAAAUGAGAGCGAAUGCAUUUCUUUUGGGACGGACUUAACAGGCUCCUUUGGUCCGGUCGUCAGUCCAAAGAACAGAGGGCGUUGCAGCCUUUUCAUUUCACAUUCAGGUGUAUUUGGCCACAGAACAACACAAACGUUGGGCCGCAUUUGGCUCAGAGGAUGUAUAUGUUGAUAGAAGAUGUAUUCGGCGGCUCGUGUACCACCCGCGUAUGUUGACCCAGCCGGUGUGAAUUACAGCUUUGAGGGUGGAUGAAACAAUUAUGAGCUGAAUGCAUUUUAACAACUCAAACACAGCACAAAUCUUUUAUCCGUGGCGUUCAUCAAUUGUGUAUAUGCUUAUUUUCUGACCCUUCAAAAUAAUAGAAUUCAGAUGAAAGAAACGGCUCAGCGGUUGGGUUCUGUGACUCUCUCAUUCUCUGUCAGACCGGUUUUUAUUUGGACUUCUAACAGCGUUCUUCUUGUGUGGCCUUGUUGGACCUGGGAUAGCUGAUCCCCACUGAUUGUCUCCACCUCUGUCCCAUCACCUGCACCUUCCUAGUGUAUUUAAACCACAUGUGUCCUGUGUCUCUCGUUGGUUCAUUGAUGCGUUUCCCAUGUCGGGGACUUCUUUUGAUUUGCUCGUGUCCUGGUUUGCAUUUUGAUUUGAACUUCAAUAAAAGUACUUUUAAAAAAAAAUCCUACCUGAUUGCUGACGUGCACACUUUAUGUCCCUCAGCUGUCCCCACUCCCACAUGGAACUGUGGAACCAUAAAAACAGACUGCUGGCCUUAUCCUCCUCGGGCAUCUGCACGCGUGCGAUAUAAUGAGCGGGACUCAACUGUUGUGACGUGAACCCGAACCAACCCGCUUGUGCGUCUGUGUGAAUAUUAGAGCGUGAAUGAUUCAUGUCGCGCUGCUGUUGCGGCCCCACAUUCCAGGCGCUGUAUUUUGAGGCUGCCAUGAAUAAGUGAUGAAAUGUUAAUACGGGAGACUGCUCUCUGGGACCGGCUGCUAUUACAUUGCAAUAAAAAAACCCAAAUAAAUCAGGUCAGGCCCCUGAUGCCUCUGUUGUGUUACGCUCCAGGUCAAAGCGAAGAGGGUGAUGCAGAUUGUAGAGAAGAAGGAAAAAUCUAAUCUCACAGCCAACCAAAAAGCUCUCCGCCUGUAGGAAAAAAAACUUCAGAGCGUUUGAGUGUUUACAGCCUCGGCUGUAGUUUUGGUCUGACAUAACCGUGCCAGAAAACCUGGAGCGCUUGUUUUAGUCUCCAGUUCCGAGGUUUGAUACAGCCAGUAUUAUCUGGCAAAUAACCUCCCAGGGCCACAUGCAUCACGAUGUGCACGCGUUGUGUACGAGGGGAAACAACUCCUGCACAACGCAGACCUCUCAUCAAGUCUUAUCUCACAUUCCACCCUAGUGACACGUGUCAGCACAAAUGCAGUUGCGAGACACACCGAAUGAAAAGCCAUCUGCUUUUCCUAGACUUACACAAUCUCAAUUCCACACGUGUUGGAGUUACAUUUCUUUGCACGACAAACGUGACGUUGAAAACCAGCAAAUCGGCAGAAUUACAUUCAAAUGAUCAACUAAGGACGUGCUCUGGGACCAUCUAUAGGAGAGGACCAUGUCCACACACGGCUUCAGAAAUCUAAUGCGCACACAGCGCAUUUGUGGUUAAACCGUCGAUAAAGAGUCCAGGCAGUCUCAUCUUGAACAGGGUUGUGGCUGUUAGUUCGAGUUCAUCAAACCAUCAAUCCCGUGUCUCACUGUAUCUCUGUGGACCAGGAAUAAGCCAAAAACCAGAGCAGAAAGGAGAAUAACUCUUCUCAAGCAACCGACCCUUGCCUGUGAUUUUUAAUUCAGCUUUAGAUUAAAGAACAGGCAAAAUACUGCUUGUGAAUAAAACGGUGAGCCCAGUGAGGUGGAUGUGUUCGCUGCGGUGUAACACGGAGGAAGACCAAGAAGCAGUGACUGUAAAAGCUCCUGGGAAGCAGGAGAAGAGGGAGACAAAGAGGGGAGGUGCAGUGGGCUACGGGGGGAGGGAGGAGGAAGAGCCGGAGAAGGUGAUGAGAUAGGAAGGGCUGGCGAGCAGCAACGACUGCCAAUGUAACAGGAAGAGAGUCGGCGGCGGGGGCGCUGUGACCCAAAGCGAACCACAGAUCUUUGAUAACUCCUCAGAAAACCAACUCGGGGAGUGAAAAUGAUGUGAGCCGGCUUGUGUUUGAACCGACACACGCUGUGCCCAGAAUACCUAAAGAAAAGUCUGCGCUUACAAGUAAUGAUACUUCAGAGGACGGGAGAUGAGGCCAGCGACUUGAAUCCAACCGCGCGCCGCUUCCCUACUUCUAAGUGUUCACCGACCGCGCGCUAUAAAUAAUGAAGGACAGCUCAGCAGCUUUGUUCAACUCCUUCUCACUCCCGACUUGCAAAGAUGGCGGCACAGACAGUGGGAGGGAAGGUCGGAUGGGUCGAGCACACGGCACCUUUACCCAGGAGGCCGCUGUGCAUGGGCCCUGUUGGCAUAACCCAACUUUACUAGUGUCAUCUAAGUAACAAAUAGACGUGUUUCAGGGAAAGAAAAUGACUUAUUUUAACCCAAACCACCAUAAAGUUUUUUUUUAUUGCCUCAAUCUAAACAUGUAGCAUUUGUUAACUAGGUAAACCAUUGGGAGCGUACUUUGAAAAAACAAGGUUAACUAUUAAAAAAAACUAAAAAAAAAGUUGUGUACUGUGUGAAAACAGCAACUGACCAGCAACUUUCUUUAAGCACAUUUGGAAAACAUGUAAGAUAAUAGUCAUUCGUAUCAAAAGAAGACAAGUUCUUGCAUUUUUUGUUACGGCCAGGAUAUAUUAUGUAAAUGAUACUGUUACACAAUUAGGAAUAAAUUGUUAAAAUCUAGUUUGCUGUCUCCACGCAGUUAUUGUGAAAGCUUAACAAUGUCUUUUUCAAAUACUGACAUUUUAACACCAUAAUUACGGGAAAUAUUGAAAUUACAUGGAUUUCACAAUCAAAACCCUCCUACUGUGAUCAAAAGUACGACACAUAGAAACAUUUACUUAAGCAAUAAGGUACGAGAGGCUGUACUUUAUCGUCCCAAAGUACUGAACCUGAACUGUUAUAUUUUUGAAGAUAAAGUACUGCCUCAAGUACCUUGUUGCUUUUAUAAUACGGUUACCAGCGAAAUUAUAAAUAGUAAGUAAAUUGCACAAAACAGUUGUAGCCACCAAACGUUGUGUAUCGCAUUUCAGUCUAAAGAAAAAAAUAGUCCUAAAAAGCUAAAACGUCAACUAACAGUCGUGCAAAAUGUAACCUGUUACUUUUGAGUGCGCAGUGAUAUGGAACGCUCGGGUCAAUGUGAACAGCAACUGUACAUUAUCGCCCAACAAUGCCCCCCCCUGUGACUCACUCUCAACCAAUCAGAACGCUGGAUUUCACAGCGAGCAGCGUCGUUGCAGUGUAAGUUGUAGGUGUUCUCCAUUAGCAUCAAACCAAUCCAACUGAUGGCCUCAUGCGCUUUGAAGUGCUCUUUGUGUCCCAGAAGCUCACUGGUGUGGCUGCGUACUGAUCUCCACCUGAUGCACUCAAUGUCCGCCGCUGGUCGUCCUCGUGGUAGCGUCGAUCCCUCCGACCCACGCUGAUUGUCUGAAGCGGCCUGACCGGUAUGUAGCGCGGUGGCUUUGGCUCCCUCGUCCAGCCAUAGUAAGGCUCUCAUGUCUGUUUUCCUCUGCAGGGCAAAGGAUCAUUGAGCAUCAGCUCUACACUCGCUAACCUGCCAGAGACCAGCGCUGCUUUGCUUUGUUUUGCCUUGUCUUGGUUAAAUUAACCCUGUUGGGGUUUGCUUUGUUUUGGCUGAAUUAACCAUGUUGCUUUACUUCGCCUUUUUUGCUAAACCCACCUUGUCUGGGUCUGCUUCGUCGUUGGCCUCCCCACAUUGCUCGAGUUUCGCUGUGGGCCUCCUACUGGGUCAAGACACAUUUUAACUGUGAUUUCGUUAAGCUUUGGUUUAGCCGUUUGUCUGUUUUAUUAGUGUAGUUUUUGGUUAAUUGUAAUUGUUUCAUUUCUUUUCUGUUUUGGUUUAGUUUAGUUUAUUUUAAACCUGUUGCCCUCAUCUUCCCCCCCUUCAGGUGCUGAGUCUGCGGUGGUGGAUUGGUGUCCCAGGUGGUGGUGUCCCUCUUAUGUUUUUGCAUGUUUGAGUUUGCUUCACUUUUAGUUUCACGUGUGGUGCUCUUUGGGUUCCCUUUUCUUUGGACCGUCCAUCGUAAGUCUCAUCCCUGAUCGGUUCCCCUGUUGCUUGUCCCAGAGUGAAGAGGUUUUUACCGUAGUUUUUAAACCGUAAAUUGAAUUUAAUAAAAUUACAUUGUGUCUUAAAUUACAUCUCCAUCAUUUUGUGACGAACCUGAGUGCCUUCCCCUUCUUAUUUUUGUUGGGUUGAGAAGAUUUUAAAACAAAUCCCUGGGUGGCGUUGUCUGGCAACAUUAUAAUAUUUAAACUGCCCUCACCUUCACAUCACGCCUCAUGUUGCUACAUACGCGUAAGAUAGCAUCCAUCCAGUGUUCAUUUUGGCAGCUAUUUUUUAUUUAGUCUUUAGACGAAAAAUGUAAUUAGUUUUAGUCACAUUUAACAGCCAUAUUAAACUCCUUUUCUUCCCUUCUCAGGCCCAGGGACCCCCUGUGUUGUGUCUACAACUGCAUAAUAGUCUAGCUUGCAGUACUUGGUUGUCCAUCAGAUGUCCCUCCUAGGACAGGUCUAUAGUCGGGGUCGGCAAACUUUUUGACUGGCGGCCACAAUGGGUUGUAAAAUGUGACGGAGGAGCCGGGCCAAGAACAAAUGGUUGUGUUUGUGUGAGCUGAUAUAAAUGACAUGUGAAAAAUCAUUACAUGAAAGGAUUUGGAUUUUUACAAAUAGCAAAGCAUUUAUUUGCAAGGCAAUUUAACAAAUUGGCAAACGUAACAACUUCGUGAGGACCAGGGAUGUAAACGCAACACUUUGUUGUCUUUGUCUGUUUACUUGCAAUGCUUUUGAAACUUCAUGCUCCUUUAUUGUUUCCACUGUCCCAACUAAAGAGACCUUAACGUCCUACAAUCGGUGCAAUACAUUAUUUUCUUGGCUGCAUCAUAAACCAGCCGUUCUAAACUGGACCCCCACUUUUCAUUCAACAGUCUUUUCUUUCUCUUUGUUUCUUUGUUGGUUUCAUGACCAGUUCUUGUCUCUUGUGUCCUGCGGGUUUUCCUCCACCUGCUCUGUGCCGCCACGUCCUCCACCUGCACUGCGCACUUCUAUCAAAAGGAUCCACCUGUCACGUGUGUGGCGCCUCUAUGUUGCUUAGUAACGAGCGUACGGUGGCCGAGACGGCUUAACACAGUCUUCUCACGAUGUGGCGCGUGAACUACAGUAGAAAUGCGUGAGGCUUCAGAACCUGCAAUGAGUUUAUUACGUUAGACGCGUUUGUGACGGAGCGUCUCAUCCACCGAGGAAACGCUGCCUGCCGUCGCCAGAGAACAGAGCAGAAAGGUCCGACAGUCUGUUAAACGGGUCUUCAUGUUUCUGUGAAGCAGCGCGGCUUCAGCCCGCUAACAGGCAGCUAACCCGAGACAGCUGAGCUAAACUAAGGAAGCCACAUUCAAACUCGCCGAAGCGUAAAAUAGUCGUCGCGGU